rnacentral:rRNA from 1 species
AACGCUAGCUACAGGCUUAACACAUGCAAGUCGAGGGGCAGCAUGGUCUUAGCUUGCUAAGGCCGAUGGCGACCGGCGCACGGGUGAGUAACACGUAUCCAACCUGCCGUCUACUCUUGGACAGCCUCCUGAAAGGAAGAUUAAUACAAGAUGGCAUCAUGAGUCCGCAUGUUCACAUGAUUAAAGGUAUUCCGGUAGACGAUGGGGAUGCGUUCCAUUAGAUAGUAGGCGGGGUAACGGCCCACCUAGUCUUCGAUGGAUAGGGGUUCCGAGAGGAAGGUCCCCCACAUUGGAACUGAGACACGGUCCAAACUCCUACGGGAGGCAGCAGUGAGGAAUAUUGGUCAAUGGGCGAGAGCCUGAACCAGCCAAGUAGCGUGAAGGAUGACUGCCCUAUGGGUUGUAAACUUCUUUUAUAAAGGAAUAAAGUCGGGUAUGGAUACCCGUUUGCAUGUACUUUAUGAAUAAGGAUCGGCUAACUCCGUGCCAGCAGCCGCGGUAAUACGGAGGAUCCGAGCGUUAUCCGGAUUUAUUGGGUUUAAAGGGAGCGUAGAUGGAUGUUUAAGUCAGUUGUGAAAGUUUGCGGCUCAACCGUAAAAUUGCAGUUGAUACUGGAUAUCUUGAGUGCAGUUGAGGCAGGCGGAAUUCGUGGUGUAGCGGUGAAAUGCUUAGAUAUCACGAAGAACUCCGAUUG